ensembl:lncRNA
CUCGGUCCUCCAGCCCCCCACCUCGGUCCUCCAGCCUCACUUCCAAGUCCUCCAGCCCCCCACCUCGGUCCUCCAGCCCCCCAACUCGGUCCUCCAGCCCCCCAGCUCACCUUGCUAUAGAGCUGCGCGGCCGCCAUGGCCGCCUCGUCGCUAUGGGGCGGAGUUGUGGGGCGGAGCUCCGCCCCAUAGCAACGCGGCCCCAUAGAGGGCAAUGGGGGGAUGGGAGUGGAGCCGCUCCCUAUGGGGAAAGGUCCCGGCACGGCCAUAAUGGGGUCCUAUGGGGUCCUUAUGGGGUUUUAUGGGGUCCAAUGGGGUCUUAUGGGGCUCUAUGAGGUCUUAUGGGGUUCUAGGGGGUCCUUAUGGGGUCCCUAUGGGGUCUUUAUGGGGUCCUAUGGGGUCUUAUGGGGUCCUAUGGGGUCUUUAUGGGGUCCUAUGGGGGCUUAAAGGGGUUCUAUGGGGUCCUAUGGGGCUCUAUGGGGGCUUAAAGUGGUCUUUAUGGGGUCUUUAUGGGGUCCUAUGGGGUCCUUAUGGGGUUUUAUGGGGUCCAAUGGGGUCCUAUGGGGCUCUAUGAGGUCUUAUGGGGUUCUAGGGGGUCCUUAUGGGGUCCCCAUGGGGUUCUAUGGUGAUCUAUGGGGGCUUUAUGGGGUCCUAUGGGGGCUUAAAGGGGUUCUAUGGGGUCCUAUGGGGCUGUAUGGGGGCUUUAUGGGGUCCUAUGGGGACUUAAAGGGGAUCUAUGGGGUCCUAUGGGGUUCUAUGGGGUCUUUAUGGGGACCUCUGGG